rnacentral:rRNA from 1 species
GGGAUUGCCUCAGUAACGGCGAGUGAAGCGGCAACAGCUCAAAUUUGAAAUCUGGCCUUGGCCCGAGUUGUAAUUUGUAGAGGAUGCUUUUGGUGCGGUGCCUUCCGAGUUCCCUGGAACGGGACGCCUUAGAGGGUGAGAGCCCCGUACGGUUGGACGCCUAGCCUCUGUAAAGCUCCUUCGACGAGUCGAGUAGUUUGGGAAUGCUGCUCAAAAUGGGAGGUAAAUUUCUUCUAAAGCUAAAUACCGGCCAGAGACCGAUAGCGCACAAGUAGAGUGAUCGAAAGAUGAAGAGCACUUUGGAAAGAGAGUUAAAUAGUACGUGAAAUUGUUGAAAGGGAAGCGCUUGCAAUCAGACUUGCGCUGCGUCGAUCAACCUGGGUUCUCCCUGGUGCACUCGGCGCAGCUCAGGCCAGCAUCAGUUUCGGCGGUUGGAUAAAGGCUUGGAGAACGUGAGUUGCUUCGGCGACUGUUAUAGCUCCAGGUGCAAUGCAGCCAGCUGGGACUGAGGACCGCGCUUUUCGCGAAGCUAGGAUGCUGGCGUAAUGGUUGUAAGCGACCCGUCUG